rnacentral:rRNA from 1 species
GAGGAAAAGAAACCAACAGGGAUUGCCUCAGUAACGGCGAGUGAAGCGGCAAAAGCUCAGAUUUGAAAUCUGGCGUCAUUUUGGCGUCCGAGUUGUAAUCUGUAGAGGAGUAUUCGAGUGUGGAUUUGGCUUAAGUUCCUUGGAACAGGACGUCAUAGAGGGUGAGAACCCCGUUAACGGCCUAUGUCUUAUGCUCAUGUGAAUCUCCUUCAACGAGUCGAGUUGUUUGGGAAUGCAGCUCUAAAUGGGUGGUAAAUUCCAUCUAAAGCUAAAUACUGGCAAGAGACCGAUAGCGCACAAGUAGAGUGAUCGAAAGAUGAAAAGAACUCUGAACAGAGAGUUAAAUAGUACGUGAAAUUGUUGAAAGGGAAGCACUUGCUACCAGACACGCCUGUAGUUGAUCAACCUCCAUUUUUGGUGGUGCACUCGGCUAUAGGUGGGUCAGCAUCAGUUACAACGGUGGGAUAAAGACUUUGGGAAUGUAGCUUCUUUCGGGAAGUGUUAUAGCCCUUGGUGUAAUACCAUCUGAUGUGACUGAGGCCCGCGCUUCGGCGAGGAUGCUGGCAUAAUGGUCGUAAGUGACCCGUCUUGAAACACGGACCAAGGAGUCUAACAUCUAUGCGAGUGUUUGGGCGUCAAAACCCUUACGCGGAAUGAAAGUGAAUGAAGGUGGGAACCGCAAGGUGCACCAUCGACCGAUCCUGAUGUUUUCGGAUGGAUUUGAGUAGGAGCAUAGCUGUUGGGACCCGAAAGAUGGUGAACUAUGCCUGAAUAGGGUGAAGCCAGAGGAAACUCUGGUGGAGGCUCGCAGCGGUUCUGACGUGCAAAUCGAUCGUCAAAUUUGGGUAUAGGGGCGAAAGACUAAUCGAAC